UUUUUUCAUUUUUCUUUUUCUUUUUCUUUUUUUUUUACUUUCCCCGAAAUUCCAUUAUUUCAACGUCUCUCCCCCCGCUGGACGCCGAUCCUCCCCUCCCCCCCCCCCCCGCCUUGCAUUGUCUUUGCAGACACCAACACUGCACCUUGCAUCAGGAAGAGUCUCCCACAGAUGUUCCCCUUGGUGGGACCCCCAAAAAACCACACCGGGGGGGGGACCCUCGCCCAUUUCCCCCUUAGUCCCCCACUAAUACUUUUGGACACACACAAAAAAAACCAAACAAACCCAAAACAAACCAAACUAUUAAAAAUGUAAAAAAAAAAAGCCCCAAAAUGUUGACAUUUCUUCAUCACGAAGCAGCGCCGCCGCGCGGUGCCGCCCGCCCAUCGCUGUCACGACCCGCAUCAGGCCUCAGCCUCAGCAGGGCUGGGAGGGAAGGGGGUGUCUCUCCGGCCGGUGGGACGGGGGGUUUUAAGGCAAAAUCUGGAUUUUUGGGGGGUGUUAAGCCCCCCGCUCGGUGGUUUGCACAGGCGAGAGGAGACCUCUUGACCUGUUCCCUCCUGACCCCCCAAGAUGAGGCCAAUGGGGAUAGAUGGGGGGGCUGUGACCUGUGACCCCCCCGACACCAGCCCUUUUGGGGGGGGAGGGGCACAGCUACAUUCACACGGUUCUAUUCCUGUCACAAGAGCUGCCGGGCUCAGCCCUCCUGCCCUUGCACCCCAUUGAAAACCAGUUCAAAAGGGGGGGAGGUCAGGAUGCUGGGCCCCCUCCCACGAGGACUCAGCCAUGAGGGACCCCAACCGCAUCCUCAUCCAUCCUGCCAUGCCCAGACCCAGAGCACUGGCGGGGUUCAGGCCCGGGGAGGGGGGGGAAGCACUGCCUCCCACCUCGCUGCCUUUGGUUGCUGGAAGCCAAAAACCAAAAGAAACCCCCCCAAAAGGGAAGGACCCCCCCCAAAAAGAGGCAAAGCGGGGGGGGUGGGGGGGCGGCUAUUGCAUAUUCCGGUGUGUUGGCGCAGAGGGUGCAUCAACUGGAAGACAUUUCCGAAGGGGGGGGAAAUGGGUUAAAAAAAACAAUUAAUAAUAAUAAUAUAAUAAUAAUAAUAAAAGAGAGAGAAAAAGGGGAUUUUUCCGGCCGAGAAGAAGCCAUGCAGGAGGCGGGGGGGGGGCCCCGGGCAUGCAGCGGCUCCCGCGCCCCGGCACCGGGCCCGGUAAUACUGAGGCUCCGAAGGCAAAGGCACAUCUUGUGGUAGAAAACUUCGUGCAAAUUAGGAAAACAUGGAUUUCUUUUUUUGUUUUGUUUUUCUUUUUUGUUUUUUGUUUUUUUUUUUUCCUUGCGUUUUUUUCGGUUUUUCGCCCCUUUUUUUUUUUUUUUCUUUUCUUUUAUACAGAUUUUUUUUGUUGUUUUUUUUUUUUUGGUGGUUUUUUUUCCUCUUUUUUCUCUGUUGCUGAGGGGAAGGUCGAGCCGGUUACACUCUGCCAUGCACAGCAUCGCCAGCGCGGCGGGGCCGAGCCGGGUCGCCAGGUCCUGGUAAAGCACCAUGCACUUAUAGAUAGGGGGGUUUGUCCUUUUUUUUUUUUUUUUUUUUCCCUCUUUUUCUCUUUUUUUUUUUCUUUUCUUGAGGGGUUUUUGUUUUGUUUUUUUUUAAUGCUUUUCUCAGAUCUUUAAAAAAAUAACCCCAAACCAAAGAGGGCUCCGUCACCGCCAAGCGCUUCUUUUGCCGUUUUCUCUUGUUCUCUUGCGGGUUUUCUCAUUUUUCUUCUCAUCUUGGAUGUUUUCUCCUCUCCCGGGAUUUCCUCCAUCCAACCCUUCUCCUUUCCGCGGGAGCCGGGGGAGGGUUUGGCGGUGCUCCUCGCUGCCAUCCCGCACAUCCCACAGCCGCUUCUCUCCGUCAUUCCCCGUGGGCUGCCCCCUGCGGCGCGGGGGGGGACACCAGUCUGCUCCGGGGGGACACCGGGGGUCUUCCUCAUCUUCCUCCUCCCCCGCGCGGGAUGGGGGCUUCCUCCAGCGCUUCCCUCCCAGUGGGGGGGAUCCUCAGGAGGGGUCUCCGGGUCCGUGUCCCGUCCCCCGCAGCGGUUCAGGCACUUGGCGGGGGGGGGCGGAGGGGGUUUUGGGGGUGCAGGGGAGGUUUGGGGGGUGCGGAGGUGCUUUGGGGGGUGCAGGGGGGGCUCUGCCCUUGGCGUUAAAAAAAGAAAAAAUCCCAAAAAACCCC
ensembl:lncRNA